GGUUGGUCCCGGCGGGGGAAGGAGAAAGUGAGACUCGGUGUCAUCACCAAUCCGUCGCCAGAAGGGGAGGAAACUGGAAUCCAGCAGCGGCGAGCAGCAGCUGGGCGGUCACAUCUGGAAAUGGAAAGCCGACCUCCCCCUCCUCCUCCACCUCUUCCUCCUCCUCCUCCUCCUCCUCUCACCCAGGAUCACUUCCGAAACCACUUGGCCUUCAGCCCCUGCCUCGGCCAGAGGUUUCAUUUUUAACUGAAUAUUUACGAAAGCUGAAAGCGUGCGAGGGGGGUGGGGUGGAAAUAGCGGCUGCUUCUUUUCCAAGGAUUUAUUUAAUGGGGAUGUGUUCAAGGCAAGACCGAAUUCAGAAGGAUAUCGACGUCGUGAUCCAGAAGUCCAGAGCUGAGGACUGCCUGUUUGCAGGGCACCGGCAACAGUUUUCCGUUUGUGCCUACUCCACCUGCUGUCUUUGUUGGGUCAGCGAACAUCGCCUCCCUCUACCGCUCAAUCAGCAAAAGGGACCGCCCUUGAGGACCUCACCCGCGGCUCACUCCCCUCCCAACUUCGCGGGCAUCGCCUCCGGUCGCCUCUUCCGAAGGCCUAACGAGCAUGUUAGCUGCGAACGGAGGUGAGGAGGCUCCGCUGACUGACCGGUGCCCAUGUCCAGGGCACGCACAAACGCCAUGACUUGGCUUGGCCUCUCUCUUAGUUAUUCACAAGCUCAGCCCGAUAGGCACCUCUGGGGCGGCGACGGCAAAGAGGGUGCGCUUAUUAAGUGCAGCUCCACGGGGACUGGCCUCUGCACGGCUGUGUACACCUGAGCGAGACGCUCAGUCGCUCUCUAAAGCCGCUUCUGCGGAUGACAGACACGGAGAUAAACGUGAGAGGUGGCCCACCACGACUUGCCCUCCUUUGCCCGGGUUUGCCCCUCGCUGCGGAGGCUGUUCUACAUCUGGCCCUUGGAGCAGGCCGGCUGACAGCGUGGUAAAGGAAGAUUUCUGCGGGAGGGCGGCCAGUGCAAAACAAUUCCCUGACCGGGAAUCGAACCCGGGCCGUGGCGCUUUCAGCACCGAAUCCUAGCCACUAGACAACCAUGCAGAUGCGGAAAGCUGCUUUCUCUCCCUUCUUCGACCUGAAGCGACACUUUCCUGUGCUCUAGGAGGACUUGGGUCUUGUGAGAGUCUCCCUUUGCUCCUGGAGUCGUCUCACAAGGCCGUUCACUCCCUGCUUUCUUCAAAAAAAGAACCUGCAGGCGACACACCAAGGGCUCCACGAGGGAGUCCUGAGUACUGGAGCGAGUUGCGGCCACGCGGCCGCAGCUCACCACUGGCCUAGAGAUGCCCUUUGCCAGGCGGCAGCAACUGACAAGAUGGUCGCGGGUCGCCGGGUCCGGAGCCGCCCACCAGGUUGCCAGGAGGAGGCGGGAGCGGGGAGGCGCCCGAGGUGAGACGGGGGCACCCUCUGCAUCAUAAAGGACCCAGACCCCGGCACCCUCAACAUCAUAAGGAAUCAGACGGAUGCGGAAACCGAGGCGGGCUGGAUAGGAAACUCUUUCCAGGAAGGCUCCGGGGCACUCAACUGGUCUCCAACCUUCCCCUGCAACCUGUGACGCCUGCCAUUUUCCCAUUUUAGGCGAUGGCAACGCAACCCCUCCGUUUGCUCUGGGCAAAACUUCGAGAGUUCCCUCUGAAGCUGGAGCUUUUUCCUCAGAUCCAAGAUCCAAUUGGUCACCAAUUCGUGAUUUCCGUCGGCCAAGUGCGUGGGCAUUGAUCUACACGCGAGUUUCUCCACCUCUGCCGAAUGGCUACUUCGGGGUGGGGGAGGGGCCCUCCCGCCGUGGAUUGCAAGGUGUUUAGCAGCAUCUGUCUCCUCCGCUGACUAGACACAUGCCAGGGGGAUAACAUUCUCCCUCCCGCUUCCCCCAGCCGCGGCCUAGUGUCCCAGCGGGGUUGGGAGAGGCAUGUGAGGGCGAAGUUGCCCCCUGUUGAGAACCAUUGCUGCGCGUAGUCCUUCUCUCUGAACUUGUGCAGAGGACUCUCCAGGUGAAGGCUCAAGGGUGGAUCCAGCUCGAGACACCCUCGCUCCCCCUCACAGUCGGACCUUAGGAUUUAGGCUUUAACAUCUCCACAUCAUGAGAUUCGAAACCUUUAGGUCUUGUCUUCCGUUCUGUCCUCCAAAUCGGCCUCUUCCGAGCCUGUUGACCAGGGCCAGCCGGGCAGAGGGCUGGGCUCGCUCAACGAGGCUCCUCUCGCACCUCCUGGAGCUUCAGGCUUCUUUCCGUUGCAGAGAAGCUUUAUGGGCCAAUUCGUUCGGCAUCCCCGGGGGCAGGUGCGCGGUGCGCGGGGAAGAAGAGGAUUUGACUGCGGUUCUCCACCCCCGGCGCCCAACCUCCACCCCGGUGCGCGCGCUCUUCCAGGCUCCUGCUGGUCCCACUUGCCAGGAGUUAGGUCUCAGGUCAGCCUGAGCUCCUGAGACGCCCAGGCCCGGAAAGACACGUAGGGGAAACCAUCUGCUCACUUCUGUCCUGUCCGGAAGGGAUCCCUUUCUGACGGGAAAGAAAGGCG
rnacentral:lncRNA from 1 species